CGGCCCGGUCUUCCAAGACUCUCUCCCAAGACUUCAAAGCGGCGGGCUUGUCCCGCCGCUCUGUUUUUCUGCAGC
rnacentral:misc_RNA from 1 species